rnacentral:rRNA from 1 species
UACAGAGGUCCCAAGCGUUGUUCGGAUUCAUUGGGCGUAAAGGGUGCGUAGGCGGCGCGGUAAGUCGGGUGUGAAAUCUCGGAGCUCAACUCCGAAACUGCACUUGAUACUGCCUUGCUCGAGUACUGGAGAGGAGAUUGGAAUUUACGGUGUAGCAGUGAAAUGCGUAGAUAUCGUAAGGAAGACCAGUGGCGAAGGCGAAUCUCUGGACAGUUACUGACACUGAGGCACGAAGGCCAGGGGAGCAAACGGG